rnacentral:antisense_RNA from 1 species
AAUAACCAAAUAUGACAAUUGGGCUAAGCGUCAAGUUGGUAAUUUUUUUUACAUCUCCUCCUACCGGAACCCAUGUAUCAUAUAUGCCCCCAGAAUAAAGAUCCUUGGGCACGAGAAGAAAAAUU